AGCAGAAUGGGUCCCCCCUCCAACCCCCCAUGAAACUAUUGUUCAGAGUUCAUGUGGAGGAAGUGUUAGUAAAGGCCUGGCUGAGCAAUGGCAGAGAUGACAGGAAAUUAGGCCAAAGAAAGCUGAGCCCCAGCAGGCUGCCUCUGUGCUCAUCUCCCCAGCGUUAGGCCUUACCUGGUGACAGGUGAGGAUCACUCGUUGGGAGGCCCUGUGUUUGCUCCCUGACUUGGGAGGCAUGGCAGAUGCAGCUGCCAGGCAAGGACUUGGGAACGUCGCAGCCCAAGUGUUUGGUGGAGGCAACAGUGUCAGGGAGGGAGCUUCGCCCUACUCCAUGGGGCUCCUUCAUGGAGGGGAUAAAGCCAGGAGGUGGGAAUCCAGGCACUGGCACUGCACCACCGGGGUUCAAGCCCCAGUGCUGUCACUGACCAGCAGUGUGACCUUGGGCAAGCCACGUAACCACCCUGUAAGAGGGGGCAGAUGAUACAGCCCCGUCGCAGGGUUGCUAUGAGGAUGAAAUGAGCGAAUCUCUGUGAUUUGAACAGUGCCUUGUCCCUAGUGAGUGCUUAAUUUGUGCUAGUGUUUGUGACUGAGGACAGAGAAGUGAAUCCAGGCCUGAGGCUGGAUACUGGCUCAUGGAUCAGGUGCACAGCCAGCUCUGCAGGCCAGCCGUCUGAGGUCUGGCAGUCUGUUUUGGUGCAGGCCACUGGGGCCAGCCUGCCCGCUGAUCCAGGCACUUCUCUUGCUGACUAACCAAGGUGUCUGCUGGCUCUUCCCAGUUCUCCUCUGCCCUCACCAUGCACAGAUCCUAGGAACUCCAGGUUGAGAAGGGCCCUGAGAGCCACCCUGCUAAUCAGCGCCUCCAUAGCAGGCCCACCUGGCUGUCAGCACCCUCUGCUCACACACUUCCAGGACAUGCCAGGCAGUCAUCUUAGCUCUGGACAACUCUGAGUGACUCAUGGGGGCCAUGGUCUGACAGACUGCGUCUUCCUCCCACCAGCCCAAUGCAACCCCACAGCUGCCCAGAAUAAGCCUGUUUCUUUCUUUUCGACAUGUUGUUGCUUCCCAUAUUGUGAGGCCACUCUCUCAUCCCACCUUGAAGAAUUCACAUUUCCAUUUCUUCCAACCAUUUCCUCAUAGCACAGUUUCUAGUUUGCUGGCAGGCUGCCCCAUCUGAUCAUACCUGAUCACAUGUCAAUUUGUCUUUGGCCCUUCUCUUUGGGGGUUCUGAGUAGUCAGACCCUACAUUGCCCCAAUCAGACAUCACACUUGUGGACACCACCCCCUCCCUGGAAGUACACUGGAUUCUCUAGAAGCCACAUCCCACUGGUGGUCGCACUGAGCAGACUGUCAAUGGAGAGGCCCUGUGCUUUCCCAGGACUGCUGUUAAGCCACAUUGCUUAAACAAUGUCCCCACCACUGCAGGCUCAGCCAACCCAGGCAAGCUCUUGAGCCCAUGUAAGGCCUGCCUCUCUCUCUCUCUCAUUCUGUGUAUGUGUGUGUGUCCUCAUUCAGGUCUCCACAGAUAUAGAAGUCUUCUCUGUAUUUAAUUGUCCUUAGCUUCCAGCCCCCAGGGACUGGGUUGGCAUAUCUUAGAGGAAAGAGUGUAGGCUUUGGACUCAGACAGAAAUCUCUCUUUGAAGGCUAGUUCUGCCCCCGACCAGAUGUGUGACUGUAGACCAUGUGACUUUCCUCUCUCUGAACCUCUGUUUCCUCACAUGUGAAAUGGGAGAGUAAUACUAGCCUUCUGUGGUGAGUGUGAGAAAUCAAGUACAAUAGGAAUAAACAUGUCUGCUCCCUUCCUGGGCCAUUUGGUACCACAAUGACGAUGACUACAAUGAUGCUACUUGUCAUUUAUCUCCUGGAGGAGCUGAGAAGAGCUUGCUCAACAACAAUUCAUCACUUGGAGAAAAAAUGCAGGUGUCAGAUCAAUUAUACCUUGUUAUAAACACAGACGUAUGCAAAAUGAAGAUUCCCCACCAGCUGUGCCCAAGUCACGCUAGAACAGCCAGCAGACACCAAGUAAACACCACCUAAUGAUGAACCUGAUCGGACCAUUCACGCCAGUUGGCAGAUCCAUAAUUUCAUGGGGGCAUCACCCAGAGCGAAGCCAGCACCAGCCUCCUUGAAAAUGCUAUUGUAUGCUCUUUUUGGCAGCAUUUCCACUAAAACUGGAACCAUGCAGAGGUCAGCAUGGCCCCUGCAGAAAGAAGACAGCAAGUUUGUGAAGCAUUUUAUAUGAAAUUCUGGUACAUGCUACAACUUGUGUGAAUCUUGUGUGAUUCCACUUAUAUAAAAGACCUGGAGUAGUCAAAUUCAUAGAGACACAAAGUAGCAGGGUGGUUGCUGGGUGCUGGGGGGAGUGAGGAAUGGGGAAUUCUUAUUUAGUGAGUACAGAGUUUUAGUUUGGGGUGAUGAAAAAGUUCUAAAAUGGAUGGUGAUGGUGACUGCACAACAAUAUGAUGUAUUUAGUGCCAGUGAACUGUCCACUCAAAUGUGGCUAAAAUGGUAAAUGUUAUGUAUAUUUUACAAUAAAAAAUGGCAAAAAAUAUUGCAAAGCCAAUUCUACCAGGUGAGCAGGAAGAGGAGAGGUUGUUGGAAAUAGAUGUGUCACUUCAGGGAGGCUGAUGGGUGGCAGUCACCCUCGGCAGGGGCUUCUUGGUUCUAUUGUCUGUGGGCUUGGGUGGCCCUGUCAGAUCUGGGGAAGGAGACAGCAUUUGGGGAGGGGUAGAAAGAACCCCUGGCCAUCUGAUGCUAUUCUACAUGUGCCCCAAUGGGUGAAGAGUAGAGCAACUCCAGAGCAGAAGUUGGCAGGAAUCAAAUGCCUGGGAAGAAGUUGCUGAAGAUCCAGCAUGGUGAUUCACAGCAGCUGGGCCCGGGUUCAAAUCCUGCUCUAGCAAUGACUAGCUGCGUGACCCUAGGCAGAUUACUUACCCUCUGCCUCAGUUAAAUAGGAACACUAGUACCUACUGUGUAGGAAUAUAGUCAGGACUAAAUGAGGUAAAGUGUGUUAAAUGCUAGGGGUGCCUGGCAAUAAAUGAAGGAAUGGUAAACACUGUAUUUUGUUUCAAUGCCAAUGGUGAAGUCAACAGUAACACUUUGUCUUAGUUUCUUUGUAUUGCUUAACAGAAUACCACAGAAUAAUUUAUAUUUUUAAAAAACAACAACAAAAUUUUCUCAUAGAACUGGAGGCUGAAAGCCCAAGAUUAAGCUGCCAGCAUUUGGUCUGAUAAGAGCCUCCUUUCUGUAUCCUCAUAUGGCAGCAGUGGAAGGGCAAGAGAGACAGAGAGCCCCCUCGGCAGCCACAAGCCCUCAUGACUUUAUCACCCCUUACAGGCUCCACUUCUUCAUCCUAUCAUCGAGGAUUAGGUUUUAACCUAUGAAUCUCGAAGAGGACACAAGCAUUCAAACCAUUGCACCCUUAAUAAAGCAAAUCUGGAUCAGAAGCUGUAUCAUAAGAAGGAACCUGUAUCGACCCCCAGGGUGAAUUUGUGCUCUAGUGAAGAAGGUUUACUGACUGUGCCAUGCCUGGUGAGUCACUUCCCAUGUUUGAGCCUCACCUUCACAGUUUUCUCACUUGCAAAAUGGGUUCAUAACAGCAAUCAUAUGGUGUCUUUGUGAAAAUUAAGUACUAUGAUAUUUGUUCAGUACAGAGUAUGCUGCUGAGAGUAUGUUUAUGCAAUAAAAAGAAGCCAUGAUGAUGUUUGCAUUUGGUAUUUGAAGAUCAGUUUCAAAUGUUGGCCCCACCAUCUGCUAGCUGAGCAAUCUUGAACAAGGAGAUUUUGCUUCUCUGAAUCUCAGCCUCCUCAUCUGUCAAACGGGAAUGAGAACACUACCACCUCCCCCAAAGGACCGUCUGGAAAACCUAAGACGCACAUCUACUUGGACACAGUAUACUAACACCAUCCAUUCCACCCACCUCGCAGCAGGACCCCUCCUGGUGGCAGAAGAUGAGCCGCCUGAGGGCACAGGUAGUUUUAGGGGUUGGGGUCUCUGCCAGAUGGGCAGAGGAGCCUUCCUAUGGGAUUUGUUCAUUAGCCAGGAGCUUUAAGGUGGGGCUGGCCUGGCCUAGAGGUGCACCAUCCUGAUUUUGCCUGUGAAUUACUAAAAGCAGCAGAGUAAUUAUCCUCCUUCCUCUGUCCUGCCCCAAGUCUGGGAGCAGCCAGGGCCUAUGGGGACAAUGAACACAGAACAGAGCCAUUAAUUGCACACCAGGGUCCCUGGAGGAUGGCCAUAUGGGCCUGUCAUCUUAGUGUGGAAGUAAUCAUGUAAAUAAAUCACGUGUGAGUAAAUCACAGACUUAUCUCAUCUGUAAUUUUCUGGGAGUCUCUCCAGCACUGUUUAUUGAGGUGCAUGGGUCUGAAGCCCCAGAA